UCUCCGUAGGUGAACCUGCGGAGGGAUCAUUAACACUAUUUGGCUGGUAUCAUUCUGUGAUAUUAGUUCAAAUUUUCACACACCUGUUGAACUCGGUUAUUUCGGUAACCAAUCCAACUGUUUCAAGUAGUAGGUUGUUGAAGUGACGAAGUGAGCCCCCGUACUUCACGGUAUGGAAUGGCGACUUAGCAACUUUGCCUUGAAAUGGAAAAUUUUUGGUGACGUUACACUUCAAAACGUCUCGUCCCCCUUUUUGCCAAUUUUUUCACCCAUUACGCCAAUUGAACUGAUUUAACGAAGUGCAUCGAAAGGUCCAUCUUCGUCUAUAGAUAACUAAACUAAGCACAACUCUUAGCAACGGAUAUCUAGGUUCUC
rnacentral:misc_RNA from 1 species